rnacentral:rRNA from 1 species
CCUACGGGAGGCAGCAGUGGGGAAUAUUGGGCAAUGGGCGCAAGCCUGACCCAGCAACGCCGCGUGAAGGAAGAAGGCUUUCGGGUUGUAAACUUCUUUUGACAGGGAAGAGCAGAAGACGGUACCUGUCGAAUAAGCCACGGCUAACUACGUGCCAGCAGCCGCGGUAAUACGUAGGUGGCAAGCGUUGUCCGGAUUUACUGGGUGGAAAGGGCGUGUAGCCGGGCUGACAAGUCAGAUGUGAAAUCCGGGGGCUCAACCCCCGAACUGCAUUUGAAACUGUUGGUCUUGAGUAUCGGAGAGGCAGGCGGAAUUCCUAGUGUAGCGGUGAAAUGCGUAGAUAGUAGGAGGAACACCAGUGGCGAAGGCGGCCUGCUGGACGACAACUGACGGUGAGGCGCGAAAGCGUGGGGAGCAAACAGGAUUAGAUACCCUAGUAGUC